rnacentral:rRNA from 1 species
GGAUUAGAUACCCUGGUAGUCCACGCCGUAAACGAUGUCUACUAGCCGUUGGGGAGCUUGACUCCUUAGUGGCGCAGCUAACGCACUAAGUAGACCGCCUGGGGAGUACGGUCGCAAGAUUAAAACUCAAAUGAAUUGACGGGGGCCCGCACAAGCGGUGGAGCAUGUGGUUUAAUUCGAUGCAACGCGAAGAACCUUACCAAGGCUUGACAUACAGAGAAUUCGCUAGAGAUAGCUUAGUGCCUUCGGGAACUCUGAUACAGGUGCUGCAUGGCUGUCGUCAGCUCGUGCCG